rnacentral:rRNA from 1 species
GGGGGGGGAUACCACCGGGAAACCGGUGCUAAGACCGCAUACGUCCGGUGGCAUAGCGGCCAUCGGGGAAAUGUCUUCUUGCAAAAGGGGACAGCCAUGGGAGGGCCUUGCGGCGGAUUAGGUAGUUGGGGGGGGUAGUGGCCCACCAAGCCGACGAUCCGUAGCUGGUCUGAGAGGACGACCAGCCACACCGGGACUGAGACACGGCCCGG